rnacentral:rRNA from 2 species
UCGAGCAAAUGAAUUAAAAGCUUGCUCUUAUGAAGUUAGCGGCGGACGGGUGAUUAACACGUGGGUAACCUGCCCAUAAAACUGGGAUAACUCCGGGAAACCGGGGCUAAUACCGGAUAACAUUUUGAACCGCAGGGUUCGAAAUUGAAAGGCGGCUUCGGCUGUCACUUAUGGAUGGACCCGCGUCGCAUUAGCUAGUUGGUGAGGUAACGGCUCACCAAGGCAACGAUGCGUACCCAACCUGAGAGGGUGAUCGGCCACACUGGGACUGAAACACGGCCCAAACUCCUACGGGAGGCAGCAGUAGGGAAUCUUCCGCAAUGGACAAAAGUCUGACGGACCAACGCCGCGGGAGUGAUGAAGGCUUUCGGGUCGUAAAACUCUGUUGUUAGGGAAAAACAAGUGCUAGUUGAAUAAGCUGGCACCUUGACGGUACCUAACCAGAAAGCCACGGCUAACUACGUGCCAGCAGCCGCGGUAAUACGUAGGUGGCAAGCGUUAUCCGGAAUUAUUGGGCGUAAAGCGCGCGCAGGUGGUUUCUUAAGUCUGAUGUGAAAGCCCACGGCUCAACCGUGAAGGGUCAUUGAAAACUGGGAGACUUGAGUGCAGAAGAGGAAAGUGGAAUUCCAUGUGUAGCGUUGAAAUGCGUAGAGAUAUGGAGGAACACCAGUGGCGAGGGCGACUUUCUGGUCUGUAACUGACACUGAGGCGCGAAAGCGUGGGGAGCAAACAGGAUUAGAUACCCUGGUAGUCCACGCCGUAAACGAUGAGUGCUAAGUGUUAGAGGGUUUCCGCCCUUUAGUGCUGAAGUUAA